rnacentral:rRNA from 1 species
AGAGUGAACGCUGGCGGCAGGCCUAAUACAUGCAAGUCGAACGGCUGCACGGCAGAGCUUGCUCUGUGGGUGGCGAGUGGCGGACGGGUGAGGAAUACAUGGGAAUCUGCCCAGUCGUGGGGGAUAACGUAGGGAAACUUACGCCAAUACCGCAUGCGCCCGUUCGGGGGAAAGCCGGGGACCUUCGGGCCUGGCGCGAUUGGAUGAGCCCAUGUCGAUUAGCUAGUUGGCGGGGUAACG